rnacentral:rRNA from 1 species
AGCUUGGAAGCAGCUAUCUAAUAAUGAAAUCGUAAUAGAUCACAUCUAUAGCAGUUCCAAUCUACAAAUGUAAUGAAUA